CAUGUUCACUUCCAAGACGCCGUGGCGAGGCGCUUUCCUCUUAACUUGACGUGACAUUGAAAAUGCUUGAAAGUUGAAGCUAAAAAAGUCACCACAACUUUGUGAUUAAAUCCACUGCAGUAUGGAGGAGGCCAGGGAGGGGGGCCAGACGUGCCCCCACUGCUUUCGAAGCUUUAGAGGGGCUCAAGGUCCUGCCCAUGAACGUUUUCUUCAGCCCCUCCUCUUGCGUUGUGGCCACACCUUCUGUCAGGGAUGUAUCAGCAAACAAGUGAAGGUUCUCAAGACAAGCAUAGCAUGCCCAACAUGUCAGGUAGUGACCUCUAUGCCAUUAGGUGAAGCUAGUAUCAAGCAGUUACCAGCUAACUACUACAUGCUUGGAUAUGCCACCUGGAACACGAAGCAAGUCAUGGAUAUGUUUGACCAGAAAGUUGAGUUUCAGCCUUCUUCAAAGCUUGAGUACAAAGGGGUACAAUUGGAAGGAGGCAAGGAACUCUGCACUGGUUGUCAUCGUAUCAUAGCCACCUGUCAGUGCCAGCAGUGUGGCGACAUUUAUUGUGCACCUUGCUUUGCACGAUUGCAUCGUGGGUCACGUGCUCUUCAGACGCACCCUUCUAUUCCAUUGAGCACACCCAGGAGUGAAGAGGGAUGCAAGGAGCACGAACGAAGGGAAUUUGAGUUCUUCUGCAAGGAAGACAAGGUACCUAUCUGUGCCUUGUGUGCUCUGAUGGGAAAUCAUAAAGGUCACGACAUUAUACAGCUUUCUGAUCAGGACAAGGAAUCCUUGAAGGAACUAAAGCCAGCCUGUGACAUGGCCAAGGAAGUACUCAAGCACCAGUAUUAUGCUCGACAGAUGGCUAAAGACACAAAGCGAGACAUACACAAGGAGCUUAAUGAUGUUGCUGAUGGCGUCAAGGCUUCAUUUGCUCAUCUCCAUGCUGUCUUACAACUCAGAGAGCAUGCCUUAGUGGAGCAGAUAGUUGGUGUUGCCUCUCAGCAGACCCAGUAUAUAGGUGCCAUGUUGACUAACAUUGAAGGGAAUAUCAGUAUCUUGGAAUCGGCUAUCAUAGAUGCAUUGAUUGGCCUUGGUGAUGACGCUGUUAUUCCUGCCAACAUUACCAAGCUUGUUCAUACCUUACAGUCAUCACAGGCUUUGCCUAAUCACAUAGUGAUUCCCAAAUCAGAACAACAACAACCGCUGAGUUGUUUCACUUACAGCAGUGACACUGUCAGUAGCUUAAUGACAUUUGGGGCAGUCAAAAUCUGCUCAGAGCCAAGAUUAGAACUAAAGACAGAGUCAGAUCUUCCUGAUGACUGGGAAGCACCUGUGAUCAAUGAUGACAUCUUAAACAAUUCAGCUAUCCACAACUACAAGAAGCAGAAAGAACAAAACAAAGCAUUGUCGCCAAGCGGUAAAAGCCAGAAUGCAGCUGUACCAACAAAAGUUGGUGAAACAACCCCAACAGGCAAAGUGAAAGAAAGCAGACUUGUUCGGAGUCAUCUGUCUCCCCGAGGAUCAAAUGUCCUAGGGCGUGAGUUAGUUCGAGUCACCCAUAUUCGCAACCCAUGCUGUUUCUAUAUUCAGCGGGAAUCCGACCAAUCACAACUCAGUAACAUGAUGGUUCGCAUCAACAAAGAUUGCAAAUCCUUCAAGGAAUCUAACAGGUUGCCUGACAACCUGAGUGCUGGUGCUAUGUUGUGCUGUUUAUAUGAAGCUGAUAAGACAUGGUACCGGGUUCGAAUCAAGUCAAUCACUUACCCUGAUCCAGAGGUCAUAUCACCCAUUCCUACACCACCUCAGAGCCCCAAACAAACGCCAACAGAAACCCAAGGAGAAACAGCAACAGGAACUGAGGGGGCCAAUGAGAAUUACCUAGAGGUUGGUUCGGAGGUCGGGUCAGAGACCAGUCAAGAUAUUGUGUUUGAGGUUAAGCCUACUGUGAAACCAGAUGGCAAGCUGGAUGUUAAGCCAAAGGUCAAGGUCAACAAAUCCAAAGUGGAAGUGAUAUACGUGGAUUAUGGAAAUAGCGAAACGGUUCCACUCUCCAGUUUGUGCCGAUUGAAAUCUAAACACCAUAGCAUACCUGACUUGGCCGUGUGUUGCUCAUUGACAGACAUAGUACCAACCCGUAAGUCUGGUCGCUGGUCACUGGAAGCAGUGCAUUCCUUUGCCAACAUGGUUGGGGACAAGCCUGUUUAUAUGAGUAUUCUUGGCCAUUCAGGAGCAACCCUCUACGUGGAUCUUCACAAACCUCCUCUGUUAGAGGUUGAAGAUGACAUGCCCAUAUCCCUCCGAGAUGCUUUGGUUUUCUUGGAACUUGCCUGCUUUGUAUCACCAGAGUCUGUUCCAGAAGCUGCACCCUCUAGAGGGCCUCCUCUGAAGUUCAUUGCAGCAGAUCUUCCAGUUCAAGGCGAGGAGAUCUUAGUCACUGUUAGCCACUUCCAAGAUCCUGAGUGCUUCUGUGUACAAGAGAUUGGAGAAGAUUGUGAAUAUCUGCUAAAGAUGAUGAAGGAUCUUCAAGAAUUCUACAACAGGCCUCUGGAUGAUAGAUGGAACAUUUUGUGCCCGAAGAAAGGAACCAUCUGUGUGGCUCACUUCUCUGAGGAUAAUCAAUGGUCUAGAGCUGAGAUUGUUGAUCUGCCUGGUAGUCAGCAAGUGGAUGUAUUGUAUGUCGACUAUGGCAAUUAUGAAAGAGUUCAUUGCUCCAAAUUACGGAAGAUAUCUAAGAAGUUCCUCAAACUGUGUAUGCAGGCCCUGCCUUGUUCUCUGGCUGACAUUGGUCCCAAGGACCCUGAGAAAGGAUGGACAGCAGAAGAAAACGAUGGAUUUGGUACCAUCGUUCUCACCAAAGCCCUGAGAGCAACUGUCAAAGGUAUCCAAAAAAGGAGGCUGUCAAUCAUUUUAGUUGAAGACAGGCAAGAUAGGGAGAUCAACAUUAAUGCAUUGCUGGUUCAGAAAGGAUUUGCUCAAAGCACUGGACCUGGAUCUGUCAGCGCAGCUAUCAUCUUUGACAUUCCUCACAGUGACUUCUCUGACGACGACACAUUGAAAAAUGAAGGAACACCAUCAACAGAUUCUGGUACUGACACUCAAGCUAGCAUUCCUAAGACUAAUGGAGCUGCUAGACCCUACACUAUCACCUCUCCGUCCAAGUCACAGCCAUCCUCCAAGCUUAGCUCACAAGCUCCAAGCUCACAGUACACAUCAGUUCACAUUAGUCAUGUGGAGUCACCAGCUUGUAUCUACAUUCAACUUUCAACAGCUAGGAAAGAUGGAUUAGACAGCUUACUGGAAACCAUGACGCUGACCUACAAGCAGUUGGAAUCAACGGAAGACAUUGUUUGGCAAGAAGGAGAUUCGUGUAGUGCAUUGCUUAUCAGAGAAGGAGUGUGGUGUAGAGGACGUAUCAAGACAGUGCUACCGGAUGAAAAUGCCAUUAUUCUUUUCACUGACUACGGCAACACAGAGGUUGUGUCAUUCAGCAACAUACGCCCCCUGUUGGCUAAGUUUCAGGAUGAUCCGCCAUUUGCAAUCCAGUGUCACCUUGCUGAUGUCAUACCAGGAGGGGAUAAACAGAAAUGGACCAGGACAGCUUGUGAAUUCCUUGCGGCCACGUUGUCAGACUUAGAAUGUGUCAUAGUCAAGAAGGGUGACCUGCAGAAUGGCUCUCUUCCCAUAGACCUUCUCUAUGAACGUUCCAUUGAAGAGAAACUUGAACAACAGACAACGGAGGAUUUUGGUAGCAUUUCCAAGUUGCUACUUCUUAAAGGACUAGCUUUGCCAGUCAGUAGGCGUGUUCCUGCAAGGUCCUCCACAUCACCACCCUCAGAUCAACAGCUGCCUACAAAGAGUUCCUCACCCCAUAAACCAUCUGACUCCUCAGUGGGUGGUCCCACCUCCAAGUCCCAGGAUAAACCUUCCCAGCAUGCUUCAGCUGGUUCAUCUCCAGGAGUCAGCCCUCAAUUGACUGUUUCACAGUUUGAAUCAGCUGAAGAAGAAGGGGACUUUCCUCGAUAUCUGUUGCCACCAUUACCAACAAGUGGGAGACUUGAUCUGGUGAUCACAUACGUCAGCACUGAUGGAAUUAUCUCGGGAUUGGAAGCCAGCGAAGUUGAUACAUUCCGGGAUGUUAUGGAGAGACUACAAGCAGCCAAUUCCAUAUCUCAGCCGGUGCCGAUGUCUAAAGAUCUGCGAGAAGGACAAGCAGUAUGUGCACAAUUCCAAGAGGAUGGUCUUUGGUAUAGAGCAAGAAUCACAAGGGUGCAUGCAGACGCUGCAGAGGUGCACUAUGUAGAUUUUGGUAAUUCAGAGACUGUCCCUUUCCCAAGCAUCCAUCUGAAACCAUUUAAGUUGGACAUGCCUCAACAGAGCAGAGAUUGUAUUCUAAUUGGUCUUCGACCGAAACCUCCAAGCUCUUCAUGGCCUGUCACAACAAUCCAGUUUCUGUUAGAGACCCUUGUGGAACAGUCAUGCACAGCAUUGAUUAAGUCCCUUUGCAAAAAAGGAGAACCCUUGAAAGUGGAUCUGCUGUUACCAACUGGACAAAGUAUCAACAUGGUUCUUGUAGCAGAGGGAUUAGCUGAAAAUGAAGACAAUGAUGAUGGGAGUGAGAAAAGCUGCCCCUUUUCUGAAGUGGAAGCGUCUAGAGAUGUUGCCACGUUGACACCCAAUGGUAGAGUAGUAUCCCCUGAAAUGGGUGUGGCUAUAGCAGGAUUGGAGGUGGAGUACAAGCCAAUGAGGUUGCCAGCCAAAGGAUCUCAAUUGGCUGUAUCAGUGACACACAUCAACCAGCCAGACAUGGUUUACAUACAACCAUGGGCAGAUCAUCACUUUGGCGAUGGCCCAGUCCAACUGGAGACAUAUCAUCAACUUGCUGAGUUGCAGAGAAUGUCAGCUGACCUAAACAAGAUGGCUCCCACUCUACCAAGUGUCACCAACCCCCAGAUAGGUUUGUGCUGCUGUGCUCUCUACCAAGUCAACCAGCAGUGGUUCCGUACAACAAUUCACCAAGUCAAGUCGACUGAGAAACUUUGUGAAGUCCAGUUUGUGGAUUAUGGCACGACGGAGUGGGUACCAUUUGAAGGGUUACGACAGAUUCCAGAAAAAUUUACCACUUUGCCCAUGCAAGCCCGACAGUGCCAGCUCAUAGGUCUAAAACCACCGUCCCCAUCAGCUGCCUAUGAGGGCGCUACGUUGCCUGACUCUGAUUGGCCAAUGGCUUCAGUUGACAAGUUGCUUGAGCUCGUUUCCAACAAAAAGCUGAUAGCCUCAAUUCAGAAUGAGAGGCCAGUUCCAGGCAUUUUCUUGUAUGAAGCAGAUGAGGUAGCAAACCAAUCUAUGAUGAGUUUGCGGCAGGUUGGAUGUCCGAUUCAUCAAGCACUCAUUGAAGCAGGACUUGCACAGCUGAACCAACCAUUCCCAAGUGAGGCAGACAUUCACGAGUAAUGACACAUUGACCAUCUUGCCAAGUGGACACUGAAACUCAGUGACAGAUGCUGUUGUCGUUAGUGUUUGCCUUGUACAAUGACUCUGCAGACAUGCAGCCUACAGAUGUUAAUAAAUGAUGUCCAUUAAUUCUACUGACUGAUCUGCCAAAUACUUCAAGGAGUUCAAACCAACGGAGAAAUUGGUGCUUAUGGAUGCCUGAUUCAAAGUCAAUUUCUUGGAGUUACUGGAGCAGAAAGCUCGUUGGAAAACGUGUCGGUUUCAAUUCAUAAUGACAGGCAUAGGAGAACGAU
rnacentral:misc_RNA from 1 species